CCCCCAGGUGGUGGAUAACCUUCCGAAAGGAAGGCUAAUACAGCAUGGGACCACGACUUCGCAAGGAGUUGAGGUGAAAGUCGGCCUCUUCAUGAAAGCCGACGCCAGGGGAUGAGCCUGCGGCCCAUCAGCUAGUUGGUAGGGUAAUGGCCUACCAAGGCAAAGACGGGUAGCUGGUCUGAGAGGAUGAUCAGCCACACUGGAACUGAGACACGGUCCAG
rnacentral:rRNA from 1 species